CUAGUGGCUGUUGGGAGGGUAUUAUCUUGAUAUUUUGGUUCCUUUCAAACUAAACCACGAAUCUCCCGUAUUGAGUCAAUGAUGGUUAUUGCAAAAUAGGUACGGGUAUUGAGCUGGAAUACACCUUGCUCCAGUCCAAUGUAAAGUGGCCUCUUGGUUGGCCAAUUGGAGGAUUCCCCGGUCCUCUGGUAAUAUUUUUGUUUCAAUAUUAUUAACCAGUUUAUUUCUGAGUCAAUAACAUUUGUAAUUUCUUUCUCAGGGGCCUUACUACUGUGCUUCUGGAGCUGACAAAUCCGUUGGGUGAGACAUUUCAGUUGCUCGCUACAAAGCUUGCUUAUAUGCUGGGAUUAACAGUAGUGGCUCUAUUGGAGAAUGCCAUGCCUGGCCAGGUUUUCUCUCUCACUACUCUCUCAUAUUCUUUUUUACACACAACAUCGCCCAACAUACUUGAAAUUCCAUAUUAUAAAUUUAGCUAUUACAAGUACAUGAAUCUAUUCAACUGUAUAUUAAAGUUGACAAUUAGCAGCCUGGAUCUGUAAGUUAUGUUCUCUACACCCAUUUUUCAUAUUCUUCAUCGAUAUUAACACACAAAAUUCUGAUGCACUGGGAGUAUCAAGUGGGUCCGGGUGUGGCCAUUGAAGCUGGAGAUAUUGUUUGGUGUUCAAGAUAUUCUUGAGAUAAUUCACUUAUUUGGAUUGUGAAGAAGUAUUGAGAGACUUUAACUUUAGAACUACGAAACAAGCUGCUGUUGUUCUGUCUCUUGAUUCAAAACCAGUUGAGGGGGACUGGAAUGGUCCAGGACGCCAUACUACAGACAGGGUUGCUAGCAGAAAGUAUUUUAUUGUGGGAACCAAAAGCUCUUGCUCCUGGAAGAUCAAAAUGAAGGUGUUUAACAACUUCUGAAAAACAUCGGUGCAAGGGUCUGCUUGAGAGUCGAUCAAUUGCAAUAUGGAGUAAAUGCUUGAUAAAACUGGAAUUGAGUUGAGGAGAUCUGCGAUUGUUUCUUUGGUUGUAUGUUUGUUGAUUGUCUGAUUCCCUCUCACAUCACAAGUGCUCUUAAUGAGUUUGCCACCAGCUUGGCCAAUGUAUUCAUCGCAGGAAAGGUGCUAAGCCAUGGGUUUCACUCCCUAAGGGCAAGGCUAUCAAGUUGUCUAUCAUUGAAAAGGCAAGGAAAAGGCUUGCUGCUCAAGGUGCUGCCACGGCUUAAGCUCAGUGAAGCUUCGCCCAUCAUGACGAGGUAUUUUAUUUUGUUGCUUGGAAAUUAAUCUUACUUUUAACUAAACCUUUGCUGUGUUAAUCCAUUCCUACUUUUUGAACAUAAUUAAACUCUUCCAACAAUACAAAGACCUUGUAGCUUAAUUUGUGGAGUUUCUUUGAUAUAUCUACUCUUUCCCUGUAUUAUUUUUUUUCCUCUGUCAGUUCUACCUGAUUCAAUUCAUCUUGGCACAAACAUCUCUGUUUGUUUUAGAACACUAAUUCCUUUUACCCAAAGAAAUCCCUAUGCUUCACACUGGAGGAUUUCAUUUGCAGAAAAGGAGCUGUGUAAUCUCUUUAUACAUACCAGAUGGUUAAACAUUCGAUUCACUGUUCUGCUUUUAGGUACAUAGUUGUGUGUUCACUCACUGUAUAAACAAACUGCACGACCCCUCUAAAAUGACUCAUGGACCCAUCAAGGAUGAGAAUUUUGGUUGAGAGAGAAGGAUAACUGAGAUAUGCUGUUCAGUACAAAAUGAACUUGUGAAUUGGAUAAGCACUAAUUGAGUUUUGGAGGUCCUGCUGGGGUCUUGUAGCUGAUAAAUAAUUGAAGGCGCUACCCAAAUUGAGCUCCUCUGCUUCAUGGCUUCAGUGGUCAUCUAUUUGCAUUAGAAGAGCUUGAAUUUCUGGUCUGAUGAAAAAGCAACAAUUCUUACUAAGCGCAGCACCUACACAAUUGUGACCCGAAAUUUGCUCAAUGAAGGCAUCAAGGCGCAGACAAAUGAGAGUGUCAUUACCAGCCAUGGCAAUCAAAAGAAAAGCGAGAAAACAAACAGCGAACGAGACUGGCUCAUAUAAGGACAGACACUAACGUUACUGUCUCGAUAGACUGAGACACUAUUGUUAUUUGAAAGAGAAUGAUCUCAGAAAAACAAAGAUGGAUGUACCAAAUGGACAGGCAAACCAAGGGAUGCUAUAGAAGAGGGGGUUGUGGAUAACACGCGUUCUCCACCACGUUGUCCCUUCAUUGUUUUUUUCCCAGAUAUUUUUCUUUUCUAUAAUUCGAGUAUGACAGUGUAGAAUGGCUUCUUGCCAUGGUUCAUCUGGCUCAAAAUGCCAGUUU